CUAGCCCUAAACGAUCAGGACUUGGGGUGCCACCCGUUCGGGUGUCGUCCCGGAGCUAACGCGUUAAGUCCUGCACCUGGGGAGUACGGUCGCAAGACUGAAACUCAAAGGAAUUGACGGGGGCCCGCACAAGCGGUGGAACAUGUGGUUCAAUUCGACGCUACGCGAGGAACCUUACCUGGGCUCGAAAUGCUUCUGACCAGCUGUAGAAAUACGGCCUUCCCGCAAGGGACAGGAGUAUAGGCGCUGCAUGGCUGUCGGCAACUCAGCCCGUGAGGUGUUGGG
rnacentral:rRNA from 1 species